CUUCUUCGACAGAAUUCUUCGGAAGGAAGUUGAUUAAGUUUAGUGGCGGACGGGUGAGUAACGCGUGAGUAACCUGCCUUUGAGAGGGGAAUAACUUCCCGAAAGGGAUGCUAAUACCGCAUGAUGCAUAGAAGUCGCAUGGCUUUUAUGCCAAAGAUUUAUCGCUCAAAGAUGGACUCGCGUCCGAUUAGCCAGUUGGCGGGGUAACGGCCCACCAAAGCGACGAUCGGUAGCCGGACUGAGAGGUUGAACGGCCACAUUGGGACUGAGACACGGCCCAGACUCCUACGGGAGGCAGCAGUGGGGGAUAUUGCGCAAUGGGGGAAACCCUGACGCAGCAACGCCGCGUGAAGGAUGAAGGUUUUCGGAUUGUAAACUUCUUUUAUUUAGGACGAAGAAUGACGGUACUAAAUGAAUAAGCUCCGGCUAACUACGUGCCAGCAGCCGCGGUAAUACGUAGGGAGCAAGCGUUAUCCGGAUUUACUGGGUGUAAAGGGUGCGUAGGCGGCUUGGUAAGUCAGAUGUGAAAUGUAUGGGCUCAACCCAUGCACUGCAUUUGAAACUAUUGAGCUUGAGUGAAGUAGAGGUAGGCGGAAUUCCCUGUGUAGCGGUGAAAUGCGUAGAGAUAGGGAGGAACACCAGUGGCGAAGGCGGCCUACUGGGCUUUA
rnacentral:rRNA from 1 species